AACAAACGCUGGCGGCGUGCCUAAUACAUGCAAGUCGAACGGGGAAAGCUUUCGGGUGAGUACUAGUGGCGCACGGGUGAGUAACGCGUGGAUAAUCUGCCUUAGAGUGGGGGAUAACUAGUCGAAAGAUUAGCUAAUACCGCAUAAGACCACAAGAACUGCGGUUCAAGGGGUCAAAGGUUUUUCGCUCUAAGAUGAGUCCGCGUAAGAUUAGCUAGUUGGUAGGGUAACGGCCUACCAAGGCGACGAUCUUUAACUGGUCUGAGAGGAUGAUCAGUCACACUGGAACUGAGACACGGUCCAGACUCCUACGGGAGGCAGCAGUAGGGAAUAUUGCACAAUGGAGGAAACUCUGAUGCAGCGACGCCGCGUGAGUGAUGAAGGCCUUCGGGUCGUAAAGCUCUGUCGCAGGGGAAUAACACAAUGAAGGUACCCUGUAAGAAAGGAUCGGCUAACUUCGUGCCAGCAGCCGCCGCGGUAA
rnacentral:rRNA from 1 species